CCGGUACUACCGGCCAGCGCCGGUACUACCGGUGGAAGGCCGGUACCACCGGCAGUGCAAAAUCUCGCAAAACAUGAGUUCUGCGGGAUUUUUGCCUGCCGGUACUACCGGCGUUUCACCGGUACCACCGGCGGUAGCCGGUACCACCGGUCAAAGCCCGGUACUACCGGUAGUUCAUUUUCUCGCAAAACUCAGGAGUAGAGCUGGCACUGCCGGUACCACCGGCCCUGAGGGCCGGUACUACCGGCUCACCCUGGCAGAGAAAGGACUUUCCAGAAGUUCGUGCGUGCAAGUGUGUCUCUCAAGCGUACAACCUAAGAUGACUUGAGCACCUUUAUCCUCAUCUUACCGACUCAAUUUGUAUCCCUCUUGAUAGUGCGGCAUUUCCUAUAACUCAAACAAGAAAUAAAACUAGGUAGCUUCUUGAGUUGAAACGUCGCUUAUAUGAAGAAAUUUUGGGGGUGCUGUGAUUCACCAAAUGUGUUUGUUUGAUUCCAUCAAUGAACUAACACCUGUAGAUUACACUUGAUAGACAUGUUAGUUCCUAAUUUGAUUGUCAUUAAUUAUCAAAACCCACACCGGGGGUGAAUGCACUUACAGAGGUAAAGGAGGCGUUGUUCCAAAUGUUCCCUACGAAGGCGCCGGGACCUGAUGGUUUUCCGGCACAUUUCAUUUAGA
rnacentral:lncRNA from 1 species